rnacentral:tRNA from 1 species
UAGGCGAAUGCUUAUUGGUUAGAGCGUUUAACUGUUAAUUAAAAUUUUGUAGGAUCGAAGCCUGCUCGUCUAG